rnacentral:rRNA from 1 species
AUUGAACGCUGGCGGCAGGCCUAACACAUGCAAGUCGAGCGGAUGAAGGGAGCUUGCUCCUGGAUUCAGCGGCGGACGGGUGAGUAAUGCCUAGGAAUCUGCCUGGUAGUGGGGGAUAACGUCCGGAAACGGGCGCUAAUACCGCAUACGUCCUGAGGGAGAAAGGGGGGGAUCUUCGGACCUCACGCUAUCAGAUGAGCCUAGGUCGGAUUAGCUAGUUGGUGGGGUAAAGGCCUACCAAGGCGACGAUCCGUAACUGGUCUGAGAGGAUGAUCAGUCACACUGGAACUGAGACACGGUCCAGACUCCUACGGGAGGCAGCAGUGGGGAAUAUUGGACAAUGGGCGAAAGCCUGAUCCAGCCACGCCGCGUGUGUGAAGAAGGUCUUCGGAUUGUAAAGCACUUUUAGUUGGGAGGAAGGGCAGUAAGUUAAUACCUUGCUGUUUUGACGUUACCAACAGAAUAAGCACCGGCUAACUUCGUG